AGGGAUGUGGUUCAGUUGGUAGAGUGCCUGCCUAGCAUGCACAAAGCCCUGGGUUCAAUCCCCAGCACUGCAG
rnacentral:tRNA from 1 species